GGGGGAAAUUGUCUCUGUCUCUUGCUUGCCGAAGGUGACAUAAUGGGAUUUCUUCCCUUUGUCCUGGUGACAGGAUGAUGAGCACUGUCUGGGCUCCAGUUCUGCACGCUUUGCCAUUCGCGCAUCCUGACUCCACCGACAGCCCGAAGAUCCAAGGAGAAAGCUCUACCUUUGCCCAAUAAAUGCAAUGGAGUUGCCCAAUCAUUCAAACUACCAAAAACACCCCCUCAAGCUUCCCAUGAUGCCCCCACUGAGAACCACUAACUUAGUGAAACUGAGGAUAAAGAUCAACAGUUGGAAGCUUCCAGAAGCAAAUUGCAUGGGACCCCACUGCCAUGAACAGAAAGUGCAUUUCCCUGGGAAGGAGCCACAACCAGUUUGCAUCCACUAAGCUGAGUUUACAAAUCUCUGAUUGUCUGGUGAAUUCAAGUGGCUCACAUCACAAAGCCAUUCUGCAUGACCAAGAGGAGAGAAGCUACACACUUCCCCAAGAUAAGAUGUUGCCAAGAUGGUGCCUUGAAUGGAAUUAUAUACUGUUCUAGGCACAAGUAAGUGCCAGUGAUGUUUCUACUAAAACUGUCAAGUGAGACCAAGGGACCAUGAACUGUUGUCCCUCUGCCACCCUGCCUUGGAACCAGUCCAUUAUGGACCGGAGGAACCCUUAUGAACUGUAAGCC